rnacentral:tRNA from 1 species
AGGAAUUUAGGUUAUAUAGACCAAGAGCCUUCAAAGCCCUAAGUAGAUAAAUUCUUUAAGUCUAAUUCCUG